ACUCUUCGGUGACUGGCAAUGCUUCCUGAAUGAAAGAAACAUCUACUUGACCUCCUCACAGUCUCCCUUUCUAUAGUGCAAGCUCGACUAGACAGUUUUGACAAUAGUGAUAUUAAGGCUCUGCUUGGUGCCAUGCAAUCUGCAUUUGGGGUGCCAGCUAGCCACAGGACUCAUCUGGAAAAAAACAACGGCCCAACCCUGAGAACUUUGGGAUUCACGGGAAAUUACAGUUCCCCUGAUGAUGCAGGACCGGACCAGGAUUUCACUCAUCAACUGGCCUAGAUUAAGGAGAAAGAAAUCUACAUUUCUGAACCUGGUAACGUCUGAGCAUACUCAUGGAAGAAAGAGCUGGCCUAUGAGCGUCCAUUAAGAACACAAUAAAAUAUCUUCAUGAAUGAUCCUCCAUUUGGAAACAAAUGCAUUUGGAUGAGGGACCAUCUCUCGAAGCUAAGACCAUCUACAUUCUUACCAUGACUGUGAGACUGAUACUGCCCACAACGAUACCAGUACUGAGUGAUGAAGAACAUUUUGCUAAGUUGUUCUAUCGUGGUCCUUGCUUAAGGGGAUUGUUGGACGGAUGUUGUGGGAACUGAACUUGAAGAAGGAAGAGCCCAUCAUUUGGACACAUCUUAGGGCUUCCCAGCUGCACCAGGUUAUGGACAAGGGACCUGGAACCCCAACCCUUCCAGUCACUAACCACAUGGCCUGAGAUGUCAUUUCAUGCAGCUGGGCUCUUUGUGCUCAUCAGCAAGUGAUGUAAAUAAAGCAUGUGAGGUUAGCACACCGU
rnacentral:lncRNA from 1 species